CUAUUCUGGGAGGUCCGAGUUCUUGCGUAGGCUGGUGCAGGGAGCCAGAGGUGUAUGAUAGUUUGAGGUGAAAUGGGAUUGAGUGCAGAGUGAGACUGUCUAUGGACCAUGUGCCUGCCGUUGUAGUACCCGGCAACCGUAUGGGGCUUGACAUCGCGCGCUCUUUGGGACGGCGCGGCGUCCCGGUGUAUGGGAUUGACCCGGACCCACAGGCUCUCAGUGGUAAGUCUAAAUACUGCCAUUUGGUUGCAAGCCCUGACCCGGAGAAAUCUACGGAGGAAUACCUGCGCUUUCUGGUGGACUGGGGCCGGAAUCGGGGCGGCAAAGCAGUGCUGUACCCGCUUAACGAUGAUAUGGUGCUUCUCUGCUCUCGGGAACGCAGCCGUCUGCAGCCAUAUUACCGG
rnacentral:rRNA from 1 species